UCAUAUUAGUAAAGCCUGCUCAAUGAAUAAUAAAUAGCCGCAGAAUAUCCCUGUGCUAAGGUAGCAUAAUAAUUAGCCUUAUAAUUUAAGGCUCGCAUGAAGGGUAUCACAUAUUGAUAACUUUAUUGACCAAACUCUUUUAACCUAACUUUUUAGUAAAAAGGCUAAAAUUUAUUUAAGAAGACGACAAGACCCUGACAAACUUUACACUUAUGUUUUACUGGGGGGGUAAAAAAACUAUAUCUUUUUCAUUUAUAUAAAUAUCAGAAAUAUUUCUACAUUUAUUCAAGUUACUGCAGGGAUAACAGCAUAAUUUUUUCCUAAAGACCUUAUCCAAGAAAAAGUUUGUGACCUCGAUGUUGAAUUAAGAACCUAUAAAGAGCAAAAUCUUUACAAGUAAGUCUGUUCGACUUUUAAUAUCUUACAUGAUUUGAGUUCAGACCGGCGCAAGCCAGGUCGGUUUUUAUCUCUUUUUAAGAAUUUUUAGUACGAAAGGAUCAAAAUUCUAAUCUUCCAUUCU
rnacentral:rRNA from 1 species